CCUACGGGUGGCAGCAGUGGGGGAUAUUGCACAAUGGGGGAAACCCUGAUGCAGCGACGCCGCGUGGGUGAAGAAGCGCCUCGGCGCGUAAAGCCCUGUCAGCAGGGAAGAAAAUGACGGUACCUGAAGAAGAAGCCCCGGCUAACUACGUGCCAGCAGCCGCGGUAAUACGUAGGGGGCAAGCGUUAUCCGGAUUUACUGGGUGUAAAGGGGGCGCAGACGGCGAUGCAAGCCAGGAGUGAAAGCCCGGGGCCCAACCCCGGGACUGCUCUUGGAACUGCGUGACUAGAGUGCAGGAGGGGCAGGCGGAAUUCCAGGGGUAGCGGUGAAAUGCGUAGAUAUCAGGAGGAACACCGGUGGCGAAGGCGGCCGGCUGGACUGCAACUGACGUUGAGGCCCGAAAGCGUGGGGAGCAAACAGGAUUAGAUACCCGAGUAGUC
rnacentral:rRNA from 1 species